rnacentral:rRNA from 2 species
ACGCUGGCGGCGUGCCUAAUACAUGCAAGUCGAACGAGUUUUGGUCGAUGAACGGUGCUUGCACUGAGAUUCGACUUAAAACGAGUGGCGGACGGGUGAGUAACACGUGGGUAACCUGCCCUUAAGUGGGGGAUAACAUUUGGAAACAGAUGCUAAUACCGCAUAAAUCCAAGAACCGCAUGGUUCUUGGCUGAAAGAUGGCGCAAGCUAUCGCUUUUGGAUGGACCCGCGGCGUAUUAGCUAGUUGGUGAGGUAACGGCUCACCAAGGCGAUGAUACGUAGCCGAACUGAGAGGUUGAUCGGCCACAUUGGGACUGAGACACGGCCCAAACUCCUACGGGAGGCAGCAGUAGGGAAUCUUCCACAAUGGACGCAAGUCUGAUGGAGCAACGCCGCGUGAGUGAAGAAGGCUUUCGGGUCGUAAAACUCUGUUGUUGGAGAAGAAUGGUCGGCAGAGUAACUGUUGUCGGCGUGACGGUAUCCAACCAGAAAGCCACGGCUAACUACGUGCCAGCAGCCGCGGUAAUACGUAGGUGGCAAGCGUUAUCCGGAUUUAUUGGGCGUAAAGCGAGCGCAGGCGGUUUUUUAAGUCUGAUGUGAAAGCCCUCGGCUUAACCGAGGAAGCGCAUCGGAAACUGGGAAACUUGAGUGCAGAAGAGGACAGUGGAACUCCAUGUGUAGCGGUGAAAUGCGUAGAUAUAUGGAAGAACACCAGUGGCGAAGGCGGCUGUCUGGUCUGUAACUGACGCUGAGGCUCGAAAGCAUGGGUAGCGAACAGGAUUAGAUACCCUGGUAGUCCAUGCCGUAAACGAUGAAUGCUAGGUGUUGGAGGGUUUCCGCCCUUCAGUGCCGCAGCUAACGCAUUAAGCAUUCCGCCUGGGGAGUACGACCGCAAGGUUGAAACUCAAAGGAAUUGACGGGGGCCCGCACAAGCGGUGGAGCAUGUGGUUUAAUUCGAAGCAACGCGAAGAACCUUACCAGGUCUUGACAUCUUUUGAUCACCUGAGAGAUCAGGUUUCCCCUUCGGGGGCAAAAUGACAGGUGGUGCAUGGUUGUCGUCAGCUCGUGUCGUGAGAUGUUGGGUUAAGUCCCGCAACGAGCGCAACCCUUAUGACUAGUUGCCAGCAUUGAGUUGGGCACUCUAGUAAGACUGCCGGUGACAAACCGGAGGAAGGUGGGGAUGACGUCAAAUCAUCAUGCCCCUUAUGACCUGGGCUACACACGUGCUACAAUGGAUGGUACAACGAGUUGCGAGACCGCGAGGUCAAGCUAAUCUCUUAAAGCCAUUCUCAGUUCGGACUGUAGGCUGCAACUCGCCUACACGAAGUCGGAAUCGCUAGUAAUCGCGGAUCAGCACGCCGCGGUGAAUACGUUCCCGGGCCUUGUACACACCGCCCGUCACACCAUGAGAGUUUGUAACACCCGAAGCCGGUGGCGUAACCCUUUUAGGGAGCGAGCCGUCUAAGGUGGGACAAAUGAUUAGGG